ACGGAAGGCAGCAGUGGGGGAUAUUGCACAAUGGGCGCAAGCCUGAUGCAGCAACGCCGCGUGAGGGAAGACGGUUUUCGGAUUGUAAACCUCUGUCUUUGGUGAAGAAGAAAGUGACGGUAGCCAAGGAGGAAGCCACGGCUAACUACGUGCCAGCAGCCGCGGUAAUACGUAGGUGGCAAGCGUUGUCCGGAUUUACUGGGUGUAAAGGGAGCGCAGGCGGGACUGCAAGUUGGAUGUGAAAUGCCGCAGCUUAACUGCGGAGCUGCAUCCAAAACUGUAGUUCUUGAGUGAAGUAGAGGUAAGCGGAAUUCCGAGUGUAGCGGUGAAAUGCGUAGAUAUUCGGAGGAACACCAGUGGCGAAGGCGGCUUACUGGGCUUUAACUGACGCUGAGGCUCGAAAGUGUGGGGAGCAAACAGGAUUAGAUACCCUGGUA
rnacentral:rRNA from 1 species